CUGGCAGCAAAGUCUGGGUCUUUAUUGGCUAUCGAAAAAGAGUCUGAGUAACCCUGAUCAUAUGCGAAACUCCUAUUGGAGAAGACAUUCUUCUGCAUAUGGGCGUCAUCAUCAGACUAUAACGCUACAGAUAGAACCAUAAGAUUAGUUUUAAAAUAUAUAUUUGGUUACGCUGUUUGUUGUAAGUGACCUGAUUGUACUUUUGCAGCGGAUCUGCAACAGGAAACCAUAAUCUCUUCAAGUCUUUAGUUCGUGAUUUGUUGUCCAUAGGCAAAGUAAAAGAUGGCCCAGUGGUGCCAGCUGCAACUACUGGAGUCGAAAUACCUGGAGCAGGUCGACCAGCUCUACGAUGACUCCUUCCCCAUGGACAUCAGACAGUACCUCAGCAAGUGGAUUGAGAGCAUCGACUGGGAAAAUGUGGCUGUUCAGGACUCCUUAGCAACAGUACGUUUCCAUGACCUCCUAGCCCAGCUGGAUGACCAACACAGCCGCUUCGCCCUGGAAAACAACUUCCUGCUACAACACAACAUCCGCAAGAUCAAGAGAAACCUCCAGGACCACUUUCAGGAGGACCCCGUUCACAUGGCCAUGAUCAUCUCCAGAAACCUGAAGGAGGAGCAGAAGAUUCUGGCUGCUGCCAAAAGCAUAGAGACUGACAGAGAAAACACACAGACUAGCAUGGUUCUGGAGAAACAAAAGCUGGACAACAAAGUCAAAGACAUGAAAAACAAGGUUCAGGAAGCGGAUCAGAAUGUAAAGUCUCUGGAAUACCUUCAAGACGAGCAUGACUUUAAGGAAAAUACUCUUAAGAACAGAGAACAUGAAAUGAACGGGCUGACACCGAAACAGCUGGAACACGAGAAGCUGCUGAUUGCAGAGAUGUGUUUGAAGCUGAAGAUCAAGAGAGGGGAAGUGGUUGGCCAGUUGGCGGAGGUGCUCAACAUGGCCGAGGCGGUCCAGUCAGACCUGAUCUCAGAGGAGCUGGCAGAGUGGAAGAAGAGGCAGCAGAUCUCCUGUAUCGGAGGACCACCCAACGCAUGUCUGGACCAACUGCAGAACUGGUUCACAGCGGUGGCGGAAAGCCUGCAGCAGGUGAGGCAGCAGCUGAAGGAGCUCCAGGAACUAGAGCAGAAGUACACAUACGACAACGACCCAAUCAAACAGCAGAAAGGCUUCCUGGAGGGGCGGGCCCUGACACUGUUCCGGAACCUCCUAGAACAUUCCUUGGUGGUGGAGAGACAGCCCUGUAUGCCCACACAUCCACAGAGACCUCUGGUGCUGAAGACACAGGUGCAGUUCACUGUCAAGCUCCGAUUUCUUGUGAAGCUCCAGGAAUUCAAUUAUCAACUCAAAGUGAAAGCUUUGUUUGACAAGGACGUUACAGAAAAGAAAGGGUUUCGUAAGUUCAACAUAUUGGGCACCAACACAAAAGUUCUCAAUAUGGAGGAGUCAAAUGGAAGCCUGGCUGCAGAGUUUCGCCAUUUGCAACUGAAAGAGCAGAAAGUAGCCGGCAACAGAACAAAUGAGGGGCCUCUCAUUGUGACAGAGGAGCUGCACUGCAUCUGCUUUGAGUCUGAACUCAACCAGUCAGGUCUGGAGCUCAAGCUAGAGACCAUCUCCCUGCCCAUCGUGGUCAUCUCCAACGUCAGCCAGUUGCCCAGUGGCUGGGCCUCCAUCCUGUGGUACAACAUGCUGACCAGCGAGCCCAAGAACCUGAAGUUCUUCCUGAGCCCUCCUGCAGCGUCCUGGGGUCAGCUGUCUGAGGUGCUGAGCUGGCAGUUCUCCUCUGUCACCAAGAGGGGACUCAAUGAAGAGCAGCUAGGCAUGCUGGCUGACAAACUACUGGGCCAGAAAGCACAGAGGAAUCCUGAGGGCCUUAUCCCCUGGACCAAGUUCUGUAAGAGUCUCAGUGAGAAGAGCUUUCCCUUCUGGCUGUGGAUCGAAGCUAUCCUGGACCUCAUCAAGAGACACCUGCUGUCCCUGUGGAACGAUGGUUGCAUCCUGGGCUUUGUGAGUAAGGAGAGGGAGAAGGCCCUCCUGACUGGGAAGUGUCCAGGCACGUUCCUGCUGCGCUUCAGUGAGAGUAGCAGAGACGGAGCCAUCACAUUCACUUGGGUGGAACACGACCUAUACGAUAAGCCUGUAUUCCAUGCAGUGGAGCCCUACACCAAGAAGGAACUGUCUGCCGUCUCUCUGCCUGACAUCAUCCGCACCUACAAGGUGAUGGCAGCUGAGAACAUCCCAGAGAACCCACUCCGCUUCCUCUACCCAGACAUCCCCAAAGACAAGUUCUUCGGAAAGUACUACGCUAGGGCCUCAGAGGCAUCAGAGCCCAUGGAUGUGGAGAGCUCCAGCAGCACAGGGUACAUGAGGACAGAACUCAUAUCAGUGUCAGAAGUUCACCCAUCUAGACUGCAAGACAACAUGAUGCCCAUGUCGCCAGACGUGUUUGGAGAGCUGAAGAGGAGCGUUGCACCAGUGUUCCAGUGUUGGACUGGUCCUAAGGAAAUUGAUGCUGUGACGUCUGAUCUCGGAGAGUUUUUAGCUGAAGACUUUCAGAUGUUUGAGAACACACCUGACUUGGACUGCAACUGAGCCAACAGACAUGUGGGACCUGAUCUUUUAGUUUUAUACGGAAGCCUAUUUCAUUUCCAUCCUUUACCCUCCUUGAACUUCAGUAGUCACGUUCCAGAACAAAUAUAUAUAUAUAUAUAUAUAUAUAUUACACAAUGAAUAAUUUGGUGAUAAUGUGCAUGAACAUAAAGCACUUAGCUAACUACUGUAACAUUUGUAUAAUGAAUGAAUAGGGACUCCUAUGUCUUUCCAUGCCAAUAUUCAACAGCAUACAGUCCCGUGUGGUUAACUUGCGACGCCGGGGUUGUGGGAUCGAUUGUCAUGUGGGAUCGAUUGUCAUGGGGGACCAAUUAAAAGUGUGAAAAUGUAUGCACUCACUACUGUAAGUCACUCUGGAUAAGAGCGUCUACUAAAUGACUCCAAAAAAGGAAUAAAGGGAGAUCUCAUCCAUCUUUAAAAUUAUAUCUUUAUUGUUUGAUCAUUGAAAUAAAUACAGUACCAGUAAAAAGUUUGGACAUA